GAACAGGGCCUUGAAAAAACAAUGAAAGAGACUCCAAGAUUAGUUUUUCUCCAUUAGACCUGAAAUCAAAGGAACUAGUACACAUUGCAGCAAGAGAGAGUUCAGUUAGACCCAAAGAAGAUCCCUCACUCCCUUACCCCUCAGAUAGAAGUCUGUCUUGGGUCUUGGAGGAUGGGACUGGGCCUCAGGCCAUUGAACCUCGAUCCUCUCUGAGGUCCCCUCACUGACUAGGGAUCUGCACUGUUCUCCCCAGGCCUGCAGCCCCCUCUGGUCUCACGAGUGUGGGAGCUCCUACUACACCACAGGGAUGUGUUCAAGAGUCAACUCCAACUUCAGGUUCUCCAAGACCGUGGCCCCAGCUCUCCAAAGGUGCCAGACCUACAUGGACAUCGUCAUCGUCCUGGAUGGCUCCAACAGCAUCUACCCCUGGGUGGAGGUUCAGCACUUCCUCAUCAACAUCCUGAAGAAGUUUUACAUUGGCCCAGGGCAGAUCCAGGUUGGAGUUGUGCAGUAUGGAGAAGAUGUGGUGCAUGAGUUUCACCUCAAUGACUACAGGUCUGUAAAAGAUGUGGUAGAAGCUGCCAGCCACAUUGAGCAGAGAGGAGGAACAGAGACCCGGACAGCAUUUGGCAUUGAAUUUGCACGGUAAAA
rnacentral:sRNA from 1 species